UACAGAGACUGCAAGCGUUAUUCGGAUUCACUGGGCGUAAAGGGUGCGCAGGCGGCCAAGUGUGUGAGGCGUGAAAGCCUGGGGCUUAACUCCAGAAUUGCACCUCAAACUACAUGGCUAGAGCAUUGGAGAGGGUAGCAGAAUUCACGGUGUAGCAGUGAAAUGCGUAGAUAUCGUGAGGAAUACCAGAGGCGAAGGCGGCUACCUGGACAAUUGCUGACGCUCAGGCACGAAAGCGUGGGGAGCAAAA
rnacentral:rRNA from 1 species